CCCUCAAGAUGAUGAGGUUAAUAGGUUCGAGGUGGAAGCAUGGUGACAUGUGGAGCUGACGAAUACUAAUCGAUCGAAGACUUAAUCAAAUU
rnacentral:rRNA from 1 species